UACGUAGGUGGCAAGCGUUGUUCGGAAUUAUUGGGCGUAAAGGGCGCGUAGGCGGUUGGUUAAGUUCAGCUGUGAAAGCCCGGGGCUCAACCCCGGAAGGGUCGGCUGAUACUGGUUGACUAGAGUACGGAAGAGGUAAGCUGGAAUUCCCGGUGUAGCGGUGGAAAUGCGCAGGAUAUCAGGAGGAACACCGGUGGCGAAGGCGGGUCUCUGGCCGAUACUGACGCUGGAGGAGCGAAAGCGUGGGGAGCGAACAGGAUAGAAACC
rnacentral:rRNA from 1 species